rnacentral:misc_RNA from 1 species
AAGUCGUAACAAGGUUUCCGUAGGUGAACCUGCGGAAGGAUCAUUAUCACGUAUCCACGUAUCAACCAUUGUGAACUGUUGCGACCGUUGAAAAUUUUGGAAAGAGUUGUUGUAAUAAACGUUUGUUUUUUUUUUUAAUUAAGAAAACAACAAACAAUAGUGAUUUGAAAUUGUUUGAGUUUAUUAUAACCUACAAUCAAAUUGUCUUUCUAAUUUUUAACGAGUAUUUAAUUUUCAAAUCAUUAUUAACUAUUUAAACCCAAUUUAAUUCAAUUUUGAACUGAAUUAAUUUCUUACUUACAUUAAUUUGUAAGAAGAAAUAAAUUUUUACGAAACAUAAGAACAACUCUUAGCAACGGAUAUCUUGGUUCUC